rnacentral:ncRNA from 1 species
ACAAUGACUGAGAACAGAAGAGUAGCUUUGCUAACGUUUGCCAAGGGAGUAUCGGUAAGUGAAAAGAUAUCAAACGUUGCGCUGCGAAAGUAAUCUGGGAGUCAUCAUCACGAAUAAGCGAGUGGUGAUUGGUGUGCGGCAACCAUUAUGACAGCCGGAGUAUGAGCAAUCGUACUUAACGAGAUCGGUGUGGCGACAUGCUGAUGAAUCAAGGUGGUACCGCGCGAAAAGCGUCCUUAGU